GGCUGAUUUCGUGGGGAGCAAGGGGGGAGGAGAUUUCCGCGAAAACUUGACCAAUCUUCGUGCAGUUCGUCCCUACUUCUAGGUAUCGAGGUUCGCAAUUUUCAUGCCCAACUUCUACUCACGAAGGCGAUGGAGAUCCUUCCGCCGAGGCAUAGCUACUCGAGUUGGAGAUCGAGUUGUAAGCGGUGGAGUAGAGGUAUGAGAAGCAGCUUUGCUUCUCUUCUUGUGGAUUAUGUUGGAGUCUCUUUUACUUUAUGAGAACUCUGUUAUUAAAGUCUUGCUUCCGCCACUGUUAAAGUGCGCAUGUUUAUUCUGAACCUUACUUAUGGUAUUGUAAACUAUUAUUACUGUAUAUCGGGAAACAAGUUAUCUAAAUAAAGUUAUGGUAUGUU